UGUAUAUAGUAGCGUGUAUAUGUCAAUCACAGUCUCCCAAUUUAGCACCCCACCCCCCCCCUAAAUUUAUUGGUAACCGUAGGUUUGUUUUCUACCUCUGUGACUCUAUUUCUGUUUUGUAAAUAGGUUCACCUUUCAUAUUAUGGAUCAUAGUAAGGCUCUGAGAAGGCAUGAAAAGUGCUUGGUCAAAACAGACACAGGGAUGCCCCCUGCUCCAGCCUCCGACCACCCUCCAACUUUUUUCUAGCCGCAACAUUUGAAAUCAGCCACUCAGCUGUCCAAGAUCACUGGGACCAGCCAACACCAUUUUUUGAGCUUAACUCCUUAUUACUGAUCAACCAUGAGCUCCCAAAUUCAUCAGAAUUAUUCCACCAAGGUGAGGCCACUGUCAACAUUCAUUUGAGGGCCUUCUACACCUACCUCUCUCUGGGCUUCUAUUUCAACCACAAUGAUGUGACUCUGGAGGGUGUGGACCACUUUUUUGUGCAAAUUGGCCAAGGAGAAGUUCAAGGGCAUGGAGCUUCUCUUGAAAAUACAAGACCAGCGCAGCAGCUGUGCCCUCUUUCUGGACAUGCAAAAGCCAUCUCAAGAUAAGUGGGGUAAAACCCAGGACACCAUGGAAGCCAUCCUUCUCAUGGAGAAGACCCCGAACCAGGCCUUUUGAAUCUGCAUGGCCUACGCUCUGCCCGCACAGACCCCCACCUCUGUGACUUCCUGGAGAGCCACUUCCUAGACAAGGAGGUGAAAUUGAUGAGUUACCACCUGACCAACCUCCACAGGCUGGCUGCUCCCCAGGCUGGAGUGGGUGAAUAUCUCUUUGAAAACACCCUCAAGCACGAUCAGGAACCCCUGGGGCCCUGUGGCCUUUGAGGAGCCCCACUAAUAUCAGAGCUUGUGCCUAAACCCCUCUCUGCUGCCACUGGGCAGCUAUUUAACACACUGGAAACCUCUCUCAAGCCUUGGAGCAAAUGGAAACAAUAAAGCUUUUUGCAGCAAAAAAAAAAAGUUUAAG
ensembl:lncRNA